rnacentral:lncRNA from 1 species
AUGCUUUUGCUAGAAGACACCCACAGAAAUUCACAAAAGACCUGGCUUCAGUACAAUGGCAUGUAAGAAACUCUGUAGCAACGCCUGCAAGCUCCAAGGUCUGAGAUUUUUUGCUUUGAAAGGCAUUCCUUUGAGCAUGAGCUGAAAACGGGCGCCGUUAAUUGUGGCAUAAGGCAGUCUGCACCUUGACCUUUCUCUAAUCUUAUGGAUUGCUCUGGGUCACAAAACGCUGGGGAUCAGCUACAUGUGCCCCAGCAAAUCUUACUCCUCCAGUUAGGUUGGUCAGAGGGGACUGAUUUGCAGCAUCACAGCUGGCCAGCCAGGAUUCCUGCUGAACCCCUCCCAAGGUGCCAACCUCCCUGCCAACACUGAAUGGCAGACACUAUCCUCUGGUUCCUACCCUCUGGUUCCCAGUGAACUUUCUGACCUCAGUUUUCUACUUUAGAAAAGUUAAAGAAAUACUUUACAUCUCUUAUCUUACUUAAGCAUUCUAUUCAUUUAAGGAAUUAUGCUUUAACUAUACAACACUAUAGGGUGUUUGCAUUAACUACAUAAAGUAUAAUAGUGGAUUAAUAGUGGAAUAACUUCCCUAUGGAAAAUAACUAUAGUUUUUACACUUCCAGAGUUGGAGUGAAAUGCUGCAGGGAUCAGAGAACUCAUUAUUAUUAACUACUUAAAUCCUAAUGUAACAGCUGAACUGAAAAGUUGGGUCAUUUUUCAUUCAGUUGAGAGAUUUGUACAUAUUAUCCUUUCCAAUGCUUCUUGAGCUUUUAUAUCAUGUCAUGUAUCUUUUUUCUUUUUUCUCUUUUUUUAACAGAUCAAGCAUUUAAUCAUUUGAUUUGUCUAGAAUCUCAUUUUAGAAGUCAUUAUUAAAUCCAUCAGGACCUAGAGCAGUAUUAGAAUGAUUUAAUAUCCUUAAACUUCCCCUAUAUUUGCUAGCACUCCUAAUUAUCACAUUAAACAUACCACAAUGACAGAAAAAAUGUAACACAUCAAAAUGAUUAUAAAUGGUUUUGAAAACUUGAAAAUAUUCAUUUUAAAAGGAGAAAAUGUGGCUGCUGAAACAGUCUUUUUAACUACUAUUUAAGGUGUCACAGAACCUCUUUUCAUUUGGCUGUUGACUGCAUUAUUGGAAAUAAUUAGUUAUUUUAAAGGGAUGGCUGAGACAGUUUACUUGCCAUCUCGUAAGCACACUUCAGAGUGCAUUGUGUCAUAUAAAUACAGAGCUAAAAGGACUUUAAAAUCACUAGAUAAGCUAAUUAAUUUUGAAUAGGUCAGAAAAAAAGUUCCAAUUAUAUGCAUCAUGGCUGUUAAGAAGUAGACUCACAUGAUAGAUUAUAUUUCAAAUAUUUAUUGUGUGGGCAUUUGAUUA